rnacentral:rRNA from 1 species
CCUACGGGUGGCAGCAGUGAGGAAUCUUGGUCAAUUGGCGCGAGCCUGAACCAGCCAAGUAGCGUGAAGGAUGACUGCCCUACGGGUUGUAAACUUCUUUUUUAAAGGAAUAUAGUGAGGCACGUGUUCCUUUUUGUAUGUACUUUAUGAAUAAGGAUCGGCUAACUCCGUGCCAGCAGCCGCGGUAAUACGGAGGAUCCGAGCGUUAUCCGGAUUUAUUGGGUUUAAAGGUAGCGUAGAUGGGUUGUUAAGUCAGAUGUGAAAGUUUGCGGCUCAACAGUAAAAUUGAAAGUGAUACUGGCAGUCUUGAGUACAGUUGAGGUAGGCGGAAUUCGUGGUGUAGCGGUGAAAUGCUUAGAUAGCACGAAGAACUCCGAUUGCGAAGGCAGCUUACUAAACUGCCACUGACAUUGAUGCUCGAAAGUGUGGGUAGCAAACAGGAUUAGAUACCCGAGUAGUC